GAAAUGCGAUACGUAAUGUGAAUUGCAAAUUCAGUGAAUCAUCGAGUCUUUGAACGCACAUUGCGCCCCCUGGUAUUCCGGGGGGCAUGCCUGUCCGAGCGUCAUUUCUGCCCUCAAGCACGGCUUGUGUGUUGGGCCCCGUCCUCCGAUCCCGGGGGACGGGCCCGAAAGGCAGCGGCGGCACCGCGUCCGGUCCUCGAGCGUAUGGGGCUUUGUCACCCGCUCUGUAGGCCCGGCCGGCGCUUGCCGAUCAACCCAAAUUUUUAUCCAGGUUGACCUCGGAUCAGGUAGGGAUACCCGCUGAACUUAAGC
rnacentral:misc_RNA from 1 species